rnacentral:rRNA from 1 species
AUACGGAGGUUCCAAGCGUUAUCCGGAUUCAUUGGGUUUAACGGGUCCGCAGGCGGGAAAAUAAGUCAGUGGUGAAAGCCUACAGCUCAACUGUAGAACUGCCAUUGAUACUGUUUUUCUUGAGUAUAGAUGAAGUGGGCGGAAUAUAUCAUGUAGCGGUGAAAUGCAUAGAUAUGAUAUAGAACACCGAUUGCGAAGGCAGCUCACUAAACUAUUACUGACGCUCAGGGACGAAAGCGUGGGGAGCGAACAGGAUUAGAAACCCUAGUAGUCC